rnacentral:rRNA from 1 species
AUGAAAUAGCAAUAUUUUGAUGGUUACCGGCAAACGGGUGUGGAACACGUACACAACCUUCCUAUAAGUGGGGAAUAGCCCAGAGAAAUUUGGAUUAAUACCCCGUAACAUAACGAUGUGGCAUCACAUUGUUAUUAUAGCUUCGGCGCUUAUUGAGUGGGUGUGCGGCUGAUUAGAUAGUUGGCGGGGUAACGGCCCACCAAGUCUACGAUCAGUAGCUGAUGUGAGAGCAUGAUCAGCCACACGGGCACUGAGACACGGGCCCGACUCCUACGGGAGGCAGCAGUAAGGAAUAUUGGACAAUGGACGAAAGUCUGAUCCAGCCAUGCCGCGUGAAGGAUUAAGGUCCUCUGGAUUGUAAACUUCUUUUAUCUGGGACGAAAAAAGGGAAUUCUUUCUCACCUUGACGGUACCAGUAU